GUUUAAGUAGUGUAUGUUGGCACGUUUGAUUUUCAUUCUUAUAGAAGGUUUAAGCCUCUUAAAUU
rnacentral:tRNA from 1 species